GGGGAGGUGCCGGAGUUGGACGAUCGGGGCCGCCUGCUAAGCGGUUGUGGGGGCUAAAACCUCCACCGCGGGUUCGAAUCCCGCCCUCCCCG
rnacentral:tRNA from 1 species